CUUCUGUGUUCAGCAGUGCAGAAGCUCUCUGAACCCUGUACUUCAGGGAUUGUUAUGGAGGUUUCAUCAUGUAGGCAUGAUUGAUUAAGUCAUUGGCCAUUGGUGAUCAACUCAACUUUUAACCCCUUUCCCCAUCCCCGGAGAUCUGAGGGUAGAGCUAAAAGUUCCAACCUUCUAUUCACAUGGUUGGCUCCCCUGGCAACCAGUCCCCAUUCUGAGGCUAUUCAGGAGCCCGCCAAGAGUUACCUCGUUAGAGCAAAAGAUGCUACUAUCACUUAGGAAAUUACAAAGGUUUUAGGAGGUGAAACAGUCGCAAAUGGAAUUCCAAGAAACAUUCUAUCAUCAGGUAUUAUCUACUGCUGUCUGCAGAAUUCAGACAUGGAGGGCUCAAUGGUGUCCCCUGGUCUUUGGAACAUUCUGUAUUUUAAUGAUCAUGAUACACUGCCUCUAGGACUGGGACAGAUAGCCACUGAGUACCUGCUUCAAAUCACCCUGCACGUUUUCUCUUUGGAAAGAUAAGCACUGGAGAACCAUCUCGUUACCUUCAGCAGAAAUGGAAACAAAUCAAGACAUUAAGAAUGCCGCAGUGGACAGCAGUUAUGCAAGGUUCAGCAGAGGAAGUUUUCAAGAUGGUGUGCCUCACUAGCCAGAAAUCAGAAAAGAUCGAAGCUAGCCUUUUCAUCUCAGCUGCUCCUUAAAUCAGUGCAACCCCUCCAAAUUAAUGUGAAUUGAAACUUGCAUUGCUUUUCAACUUAAUUGAAUACUUACUAUAUGUGAACCACUGCACAAAAUAGGGGAAGAAGAUGUGGGAGACAAAGAUGUGGAGCCUGUCUUCAAUAAAUUUACAGUUAGUUUCAGGGUACAUUGUUUUUCUUCUGCUGUUAAUUAGGUGUAUCCCCAAGACAAUAAAUACAUGAAUGGAAAAGUAUAUUCUGUGUUUUAAGUCUCUUUAAUAAAAAACAAAACAAAAUCCAAAAAAACUCCUAACAUGGCAACUCAGGACAUUUUAAUCCUUUUUUUUGUUGUUGGGCUUCUGAUAGGAUCCAUUUUAUUGAUUCCAUAAAUAUUUAGUAGACUUUAGACAUAUUAAUACAUUGUAGUUUGAGUUAAUUUGCAUUAAAUUCUGUUUUUUUCCCCUUAGGUAUAGAUUGUCUGUUGGAAAAAUAUAUUGCUUGUGGAUUUCUUGGGGAGUGGGAAGGUGAAUUAUACCUGUUGUCUCUACAGUCCACUACCUUCCACACCCUAGGGCAGUGGUCCCCAACCUUCUUGGCACCAGGGAUCAGUUUCCUGGAAGACAAUUUUUCUGUGGAUGGUGUGGGGAUGGUUUUGGGAUGGAACUGUUCCACCUCAGAUCAUCAGGCAUUAGUUAGGCUCUCAUAACGAGUGCGCAGCCUAGAUCCCUCACAUGCACAGUUCACAGUAGGGUUUGCGCUGCUAUGAGAAUCUAAGGCUGCCACUGAUCUGACAGGAGGCAGAACUCAGGUGGCAAUGCUUACUGGCCCACUGCUCACCUCUUGCUGUGCGGCCUGGUUCCUAAUAGGCCAUGGACCCCCACAGACGGGUACUAGUCUGCAGCCUGUGGACCCCAGCCCUAGGGGCCUGCCAUUCUGAGUGAGUUAUUAGCAUGAAGAAGAGGAAGAUCUGGAUCAAACGUGGGUGAUGGUACUCAGAGACCCAAGAUAGGAUAGGGAUGGAACAAAAUCCAUCUGGGCAACGGCUCUAUGAAAAUUUGGCUAAGUAAUUAUUUCAGUAUUCAUUGUAUUCAUUGUCCUUCGUGUUCCAUAAGUUAAAUGACUGUCUAAUUUUUCCAAAAAUUUAUUUCUGACUUGAGAAUAAGUGUGUCAUGAUUUUCCCAGUGUAAAGACACUGAUAUAACUGUAGAUACCAGACAUUUUAUGUAGUGUCUAUGACACAUUUUAGUAUGUAUGAGCCAACAAUAGACAUGUCUUUGUCUUGAGGAGUGUCCAUCUGAAUUGAAAAUGUGUCAGCUUUUUUUUAACAUCAUCAACAGACUUCUUAAUUAAGCUGCCAAUACAUACUGCCA
rnacentral:lncRNA from 1 species